rnacentral:rRNA from 1 species
ACCCAGACUCCUACGGGAGGCAGCAGUGGGGGAUAUUACACAAUGGGGGAAACCCUGAUGCAGCGACGCCGCGUGUGGGAAGACGGUCUUCUGGAUUGUAAACCACUGUCCCCAGGGACGAAAAUGACGGUACCUGGGGAGGAAGCUCCGGCUAACUACGUGCCAGCAGCCGCGGUAAUACGUAGGGAGCAAGCGUUGUCCGGAAUUACUGGGUGUAAAGGGAGCGCAGGCGGCACGGCAAGCCUGAUGUGAAAGCCCGCGGCCCAACCGCGGGACUGCAUUGGGAACUACCGGGCUGGAGUGCCGGAGAGGUAGGCGGAAUUCCUAGUGUAGCGGUGAAAUGCGUAGAUAUUAGGAGGAACACCAGUGGCGAAGGCGGCUUACUGGACGGUGACUGACGCUGAGGCUCGAAAGCGUGGGGAGCAAACAGGAUUAGAUACCCCCGUAA